UGGUGAUUAUGGCAUAGGUGCCCCACCCGAUCCCAUUCCGAACUCGGAAGUGAAAUCCUAUAGCGCUGAUGGUACUGCAUCUUAAGGUGUGGAAGAGUAAGUCGUUGCCA
rnacentral:rRNA from 1 species